GAUGAAGAACGCAGUGAAAUGCGCUAAGUAAUGUGAAUUGCAGAAUUCAGUGAAUCAUCGAAUCUUUGAACGCACCUUGCGCCCUUUGGCCAUUCCGAAGGGCAUGCCUGUUUGAGUAUCAUGAACACCUCAACUCUUUAUGGUUUUCCAUGAUGAGCUUGGACUCUGGGGGUUUUGCUGGCUCACAGUCGGCUCCUCUAAAAUGAAUCAGCUUACCAGUGUUUGGUGGGUAUCAUGGGUGUGAUAACUAUCUACGCUUGUGGUUUUUCCACCAGGUAACCUUCAGCAGUGGAGGUUCGCUGGAGCUCAUAGAUGUCUCUCCUCAGUGAGGACAGCCCUUUGAAUGUUUGAUCUCAAAUCAGGUAGGACUACCCGCUGAACUUAAGCAUAUCAAUAAGCGGAGGA
rnacentral:misc_RNA from 1 species